rnacentral:lncRNA from 10 species
UUUGAUUUAUGCCUACUCACAUAUACUUGGUACAUGCACGUUCCUUAGAGGAGGGGAGAUAGGAAGACACACAUGUAAAUUUCCACCUCAGUUUGGAAACAGAUACUGCAAUCCCAGAAAAUCUUGCCAUAAGAAGAGCCUAGCCAAUAGUUUGACUGCGAUUUCAUGGGAGACCUCAAGGCAGAGUGAUCCAGAAUACCACAGUCUGGAGGCUAUGAAGUCCAUGAUUAAGAAGCCAGCACGUUUGCUUUCUGGUUCCAAGAUGGCAUACCUUUUUGCUGCUUCCUCCAGAGAGGAGGAACACUGUGUUCUCACAUAGUAGAAGAUGGAAGGAGCAGAUGCAGAUGAGCAUGGCAAUGUGAGAAUAUGUCAGAGGCCCCAGGAUGAAAUGAGCUCAAGUCCCUGAAAUCCCUGUUAGAAGAGUCUUUCCACUGGUUGGGAAUGCUAAUUGUAUUUUGACAACUCAAUGUUUCAGCAACUCAAAAUGUUACAGCUUCUGCAUUGGAAUAA